rnacentral:lncRNA from 1 species
UAAAGAAGAAAUCAUUAUAUCUCCAUUAGGCAAAUGAUACUCAUGUUCAAUGACUGACAAAUGAUAUCCCACAUAUUUAAUCAUGAACCAUGGGACAAAUGGCAAUGAAAUAUUAUUUCCUUUUAACUCUUUGUAAAAUUCUUUAGAAAAAUACUCUGUCUCAUCUUUAUUAAAUGAAGAGAAAAACCAAUUCCUAAAUU